rnacentral:rRNA from 1 species
GACGAACGCUGGCGGCGUGCCUAAUACAUGCAAGUAGAACGCUGAAGGAGGAGCUUGCUUCUCUGGAUGAGUUGCGAACGGGUGAGUAACGCGUAGGUAACCUGCCUGGUAGCGGGGGAUAACUAUUGGAAACGAUAGCUAAUACCGCAUAAGAGUAGAUGUUGCAUGACAUUUGCUUAAAAGGUGCACUUGCCUCACUACCAGAUGGACCUGCGUUGUAUUAGCUAGUUGGUGGGGUAACGGCUCACCAAGGCGACGAUACAUAGCCGGCCUGAGAGGGUGAUCGGCCACACUGGGACUGAGGCACGGCCCAGACUUCUACGGGAGGCAGCAGUAGGGAAUCUUCGGCAAUGGACGGAAGGCUGACCGAGCAACGCCGCGUGAGUGAAGAAGGUUUUCGGAUCGGAAAGGUCUGUUGUAAGAGAAGAACGAGUGUGAGAGUGGAAAGUUCACACUGUGACGGUAUCUUACCAGAAAGGGACGGCUAACUACGUG